UCAAACGAAUUUCGAACGAAUGAUUCCAUUACAACGAAAACUAUUAAAACCUGAGGAUGGCCUAUAUGAAUUGGCCGAAAACGUUUGGAAUAAACAAAUAAAUCGGCAAAAAAUUCAGUGUAAGCCUGAGUAAUAAAUGAAUAAAAUAUUCAAAAUAAAAUCAAUUAAAGUGUUGAAAAAAGGCACUGUUACACUUAUUUAUAAAAGCUGAUGAUACAGCUCAAGAUACUUGCUGGACCAAGGAUCUCACCUUAUCUUAAUAAGGAAAAUUUUCUGGUGAUGGAAUGGACAUUGAAAUUUUUACAAUUAUGCAUCUGAAAC